AUCAAAGCACACAGACCUGUACGUUCAGAGUACAGCUAAGUGGGUGUGCAGGAGAGGAAGGAGCCGCAUUGCCCAGUGAAAACUCAAGCUUCACGUUCAGCUUAGUGAUCUCGCUUCUUUGUGCAUCCAAGUGGCAGCAGUUGGGCAGUCUGACAGAAUGGUGCGUGACAUGAAAAUUUGUCUGAAGCAAAGGUGUGUCACUGAAUUCCUUUGUACGAAAAAGUUGUACCCAUUGACAUUCAUUGACACAGUGGAUCUUAGCACAGUGAAGUCUGGACUACGUGGACAGCAUCUUCCUAGCAAUUAUGCC
rnacentral:lncRNA from 1 species